UACUACUUCUAAACUGCAUGAGGACUUAUUUUACUCACAACAAAGUUUGAAACCUGAGGCAGUAUCAGAUUAUUCAUCAGAUGAACUUUAAUGCUAUACAGUAAAAGUUUUACUUCCUAAUAUAAAUUGUUGGCCUGCAGAUACAAGUAACAAAUAAUAGGUCACUGGGUUUGCCUGCGAUAAGCAAGAACUUGUAGUAAAAUGUAUUUUUAAAAAUUGAGUUUAACUACAUAUAUACCCGGGAAGGAAAAAAAAAAGACAAGUAAAUUUUGCUGCUUCUUGGCAAGGUUGCUCUAGAAUAAUCUGAUGCCAUGGCACAAUCACAAUUUUAUUAAGAUGAGAAAAUUGCUACAAUUCAGUUCUAAGUGCCAUGUUUGGAUCCUAACAAAAGAGCCUGUGCCAAACAAAUGACCAGAAGGGCAAUUCUGAUUAAAACUAUUAUUUCACUACAAAAAUGAGUUGUGACUGAGAAGAACUGUUCUACCAUUUAUAUAUAAUACUUUUAUGUGUAUACACAUACACACACACACACACACACACACACACACACACAAUACUUUCUUGGCUACAAAUUUAAUAAGUGUUCAGAAAAAUAUCCCAAAGAUACUAAAUCGGGGCAAGAGAAUUAUUUCCAAGAUUUUGGGUAGGACCAUAUUUUAUUUCUAAAGCUUCAGAUAGAUAUCUAUGGCUAUUAAAUGAGCCUGUAAGAAUCCCAGGUCUCCCUCCAGCUACCAGCCCUCCUCCCUCCUGUCUUGAAUAGUUCAAGUCACCAUUCCCCAACGGAAUCUACAGUAAAUUCCUAUCAACCUUCUUUCAGUUCUACAAGCACACUGGGCUCUCAGUACACAACACCAAGGUCAGCCCCAUCUUCCCUCCUCCUACAGUUCCUGCUUGCUCAUCUACUAGGGUAAGUGCCCCUAAGUACACAACACCUGUGGACCUGCCACUUUAUUAACUGUUUAAUGAUCGCUCUCCCCGGCUGAUUGAAAGUCAUGUGGCCAAUGAUCUUAUGUGUCUCGCUUACCGUAGUGUAUCCCCACUCCCUGACACAGUGCCUAGUGUAGAGCCGGAAGCUCAGUGAAUAUUUAUUGAAUGUAUGAAAGACUUCUCGGUUGCUCAGCCAAAAUUAUUGCCCAUAACCAGAAUGUAAACUUUCAAGGCCAGAAACUACCUAAUACUUGGUGCAGGCCUGGCUCUACCCCUGGCAUAGAGAUGGAACUCAAGAAAUGACUGAUAGUUCAAUAAAAGAUAACAAUUCAAUGACCUAAACAAUUUUUUAUUUUAAAAAGUAACUUUUAGGGCUUUAAUAUUAAGCUAAAAAUAUUAUUAAAUUUGCUUAAUGAUCUAAUUUCUGUUUUUGAGCUUAAAUAAGAAAAUAUCAAAACCAUUUUAAUCUAAGUUAGAAGUUUUGUAAGUCACUAGUAGUUUGAGACAAUGGUAUUGCUUUAUUAAAUAUCAUCAUCAUCAUCAUCAUCAAGCACUAGAGCGUUGUUGCAAGAAACAGAAGGAAUAUUUUGAGAGAAAGAUCUCAAGACCCGAUUAAGAAUUUGGCUACCAGAAGAAAGGGACAGAAAAGAAGGGACAUAAAAGGCAAAAUGGUGAAAGAUAGGAUAUAGUGAGGGUUAGAAGGAGUUCAGCCUUUUGAUCAGUGAGAUGCUGUCCUCACCAGCAUAGGUGGAAAGCUGUGGAUUGGUUAGAUUGGGAAUGGGAAGACUGAGAACAGAGCCUCAAUAAAUUGAGUAUUUAAAUUUAAGAAGCCAAUAAAACAUCUGAUUUGACGUGUCCUUAAGAAAAGUAGUGAUAAUAAGAAUUACAGCAAAGAUGGGUCAGCACUAGCAAACAGUGACAGGUGGAGACAAAUAUGAUCAGUGCUGAGACAAAAUAACAGGUGUAUACAGGGAAGGAAGUGCUCUGAAAGCAGAGGGCCAAUUGCAGAGGUAAGAAGUUAAGCCAGUCAAAGAAAUUCUAGAAGCCAAGAUCAAAAAAGGUGCUAAGAGAAAGGGCAGGGUACCCUGGCAAAGACAUCUAAAUGGUCCUAGACUAUAAGCACUGAACCAAAGAUUGUAAACAAUUAGGCAGAGUAAUCUGACCAGUAUAGACAACAGUAGAAAUACUACCUCAUUGCGAGAACAUGCUGUUUCUAAUCAAUUCUGGCACUGUUACUUAGUGAAGUUCUUCAUGAACUCCAAACUUACUUCAAGAGACCCAGCUCCCAUCACUGCCCUAUGAUGCUCUUUUGUAAUCUACACAAUUGGCCUAGAUGUUGAGAAUUGCCUAUAAAAGUGUUCACACUAAUCCCAGCUUCUAUGGUCUCAAUUUAAUCUCAACAAUUUUGUCUUUCAGCAAGUUGCUUAUAUCCAUCAUGUAACUUCAUAUUGUUUUAUUACUUAAACAAAAGGUAAGACCUUUUAUUUUUAAAACCUUCUUUUUUUUUUUUUUUUUUUUUUUUUUGAGGUCAAUUCUUCCCUAAUCCAAACACUGUAAUUUCUGUUUUCCAAAUGACUCACAACAUCAGUGGCUACUGUUUCUGGAAGUUUGGAGGUUAGUAUAGGACAAAUGUGUUCUUGACACUGUCAGUUUGUAAGAGAUUUCUGCUUCCUUUCUUUUUACUGUAAUGAGUUUGCAAGAUGGCUCCCCAAGUGGCAACAGGUCUUUGUGCCUGCCAUAUCCCAUUGCAACCUUAUACCUGCUUUGCUGUCUGAUAGCACAUUGGCUCCCUUUCAGCAUUACUAAGCAUUUUCUCCCAUUGAAUAUCUCUUUCAGAUUACUUGCCCUUAGAUGUAUUAUCUUACUGUUUCCUGUGAUACUUUCAAAUCUUUUUAAGCAUCUUUGAGGUACUUCUCUUAUUUCGCUAUUUGAGAUACUUCCCAAUUUACUAUCACCUAUAAAACCGGUGGGCAUACUGUUCAUUUCCGAUUUUAGAUUUUUAAGGAAGAUGCCAAGGAAAACUAGGGGAUAUGCCUCCAUGAAGCUACAUUUUUCAUCGUCAGAAGAAUGAAUUUAAAUAAAAGUUGCAAGCCAUCACGUUGCUAGUAAAGCUGCACUGUUUACUUAGGACACAAACCGUAUGCUCCGUUUUGUGACUAGCUUUAAACAAAAGUUAAAAUGAUUCUUCAGCAGCUUGUAUUUCGUUUAAUAUGUAUACUUGGUUCAUUUUCACUCAUUCUUUUCUGCGGGAUUGAGUUAAUGUAGAAGAAAGGACUUUUUUUAAAAAGCAAAAGUAACUUUUUGUUUAAAUUUCAAACCUUAAGUACAUUUAACAUUUUUAAAUUCACAUGGCUUUGGUUCUCCAGUAAUUGUAAAACUGUCAUUGGUUUUACUUAACUCUAAGGCACCUUAACUAAACAGCAAUAACCCAUUCAAGUAUUUUACAUUUACCUCACUGUAUUUAUGGGAGUUACAUUUUUUCCUACUGUGCUGUUUGUAAUUUUCUUUUGCCUGUACUCAAAACAUAUUUUAAAAUAUAAUUUGGCUAGGGAAUUUCAGGGUAUUUAUUUCCUAAAUACUGGGCUCACAUAAACAUAAGGCCGGUUUUAUAUCCUUGCUUAUUUAAUAUCACUCUAGUUUUCUCUAAUUUCUUUGGAUAGUACCAACUUAAAAGCAACUUAAUCAAAUAAAAUUUCUAAGAAUCAAGUCGAUGUUAUUCAAUGCGUUUUUAGUUAAAUUCUGUUAAAUCUUAAUUUUCAGAGUAUGUUUCUGACUUCAGAAUCUUUCAAGGAAACACAUUCUAAUCCAACUCAGGACUUUGCCUAUUCGUCACCUUACACUAGGUUUUCAUUUAUGUAAGAAGAAGAGAGAGAAAGGCCAAGGGAAUAGUAGAAUACUUUGGCCAUAUGAAUUCUCACUCAAGUUUAAAGAGGAAACAAAAUAUUCAAUGUGACUCGAACUCUGGAGAAAUCAAAGACAGAGCACGAGCAGGGGAGGGGCAGAGAGAGGGAGACACAGAAUCC